rnacentral:rRNA from 1 species
CCUACGGGUGGCAGCAGUGGGGAAUAUUGCACAAUGGGGGAGACCCUGAUGCAGCGACGCCGCGUGAGUGAAGAAGUACUUCGGUAUUUAAAGCUCUAUCAGCAGGGGAGAAAAUGACGGUACCUGAUUAAGAAGCCCCUGCUAACUACGUGCCAGCAGCCGCGGUAAUACCUAGGGGGCAAGCUUUAUCCGGAUUUACUGGGUGUAAAGGGAGCGUAGACGGCAGAACAAGUCUGGAGUGAAAUGCCGGGGCUUAACCCCGGAACUGCUUUGGAAACUGUGCAGCUAGAGUGUAGGAGAGUUAAGUGGAAUGCCUGGUGUAGCGGUGAAAUGCGUAGAUAUCAGGAGGAACACCAGUGGCGAAGGCGGCUUACUGGACUGUAACUGACGUUGAGGCUCGAAAGCGUGGGGAGCAAACAGGAUUAGAUACCCUUGUAGUC